CGCUGAGUGGCAGUAGCAGUGUCACGGUUGUUAACUUCACAGCAGGGACGGAAAUGAGUCCGCAGACUUCAACCAGCGAAUGUCCAAUCACAUCCAUCGGUUUUUUCUAACCUCUGCUGGACAUCUUUACAGUUUCUCUGAAGAUGUGAAAGGAGUGAACACUGUUGUCCAACUCCAUCAACGUCUGAGGGAAACGUGGCCCUCCCUACAAAUACACCACACACACACACACACACACACACACACACAGUAGCUGUAUUAAGACAGGAAGAUGAUACGACAAAGGUGGACUAAAGAUGGCUGCUGAGAUUGUUUGCCUUCAUCACUGCGACGGAUGGAAGUCAUCCUGCAGAGUGUUUGUGAGACAGUCCUGGGAUCAAUGCUGUUUCUCCUUCCACUGAAUAUUGCAGUGAUUUUUGAAUGAGUGCUUAUUUUCUGAAAAACUGUGUUGUGGACAUACGCCGAUGAGUUAUUUUCAAAAACAAAAUAGUGCAGUCAUUAUUUAUUUAUUUUAAAAGUGUGAUUAACGUGAAAAAAGUUAACACUGCUAACACUGGUCUGAAGUGCUUCAACGGGGGGUUCGUGGACUGUACAGGGUCUGCGAAGGUACUGUUGAAGUGAAUGAAUAAAGGUCUUAUCUUACAGUCGCAAACACACAUUCAGCCGACAACCUGUCCAUCCAAGUCUCCUGCUCACAAAGACGACCCCCCC